UUUCUUUUUUAGAUAAUUUAGCCAUGAGUGUCGUUCGCGUCGUGGAACUAGCUUUGGGCAGUCCUUGAGGUUGUUGUCUUCUAGAUCAUGUGUGUAUAGGAAAAGUCGCUUGAAAGGAGGGUCGUCUUGGUAUCCAGAUCUCACUUGAUCGUAAUCGCACAUGGUGGAUGUGGAAGCUGUGGCAUGAUACGUUUUUAUACAUUCGGAACCAAGACAUUGUAGAGCUAUGUGUUGCAGUGUUUUUCUUUUACCGAGUCCGUUUUCCUCAAGUAAUCAAAUCUUGUCUUAUUACUGACUGUAUGCUUUAUUGGUUCGUCUCUAUGAUGAAAUGAUUAUAAAUUAUUCAGAAGCUCUGAGCUAAAAAUGUAUUAAUCUUUGAUCCUACAACGGAUUGUAACGCCUUUAUUUGUUUACAG